rnacentral:rRNA from 1 species
UGCAGUCGAGCGGUAAGGCCUUUCGGGGUACACGAGCGGCGAACGGGUGAGUAACACGUGGGUGAUCUGCCCUGCACUUCGGGAUAAGCCUGGGAAACUGGGUCUAAUACCGGAUAUGACCUCCUAUCGCAUGGUGGGUGGUGGAAAGAUUUAUCGGUGCAGGAUGGGCCCGCGGCCUAUCAGCUUGUUGGUGGGGUAAUGGCCUACCAAGGCGACGACGGGUAGCCGACCUGAGAGGGUGACCGGCCACACUGGGACUGAGACACGGCCCAGACUCCUACGGGAGGCAGCAGUGGGGAAUAUUGCACAAUGGGCGAAAGCCUGAUGCAGCGACGCCGCGUGAGGGACGACGGCCUUCGGGUUGUAAACCUCUUUCAGCAGGGACGAAGCGCAAGUGACGGUACCUGCAGAAGAAGCACCGGCUAACUACGUGCCAGCAGCCGCGGUAAUACGUAGGGUGCAAGCGUUGUCCGGAAUUACUGGGCGUAAAGAGUUCGUAGGCGGUUUGUCACGUCGUUUGUGAAAACUCACAGCUCAACUGUGAGCCUGCAGGCGAUACGGGCAGACUUGAGUACUGCAGGGGAGACUGGAAUUCCUGGUG